UACAGAGGUCUCGAGCGUUGUUCGGAUUCAUUGGGCGUAAAGGGCGCGUAGGCGGCGGGGUAAGUCUGGUGUGAAAUCUCGGAGCUCAACUCCGAAAUUGCACUGGAUACUGCUCUGCUAGAGGGCUGGAGAGGAGAUCGGAAUUCACGGUGUAGCAGUGAAAUGCGUAGAUAUCGUGAGGAACACCGGUGGCGAAGGCGGCGACCUGGGUAGAUACUGACGCUGAGGCACGAAGGUCAGGGGAGCAAACGGG
rnacentral:rRNA from 1 species